rnacentral:rRNA from 1 species
UCUUGGACCGUGGCCAGACGAACUACAGCGAAAGCAUUUGCCAAGAGUGUCUUCAUUAAUCAAGAACGAAAGUCAGAGGUUCGAAGGCGAUCAGAUACCGCCCUAGUUCUGACCGUAAACGAUGCCAACUAGCGAUCCGCCGAUGGAGACUUGUCGCCUUGGUGGGGAGCUUCCCGGAAACGAAAGUCUUCCGGUUCCGGGGGAAGUAUGGUUGCAAAGCUGAAACUUAAAGGAAUUGACGGAAGGGCACCACCAGGAGUGGAGCCUGCGGCUUAAUUUGACUCAACACGGGAAAACUCACCCGGCCCGGACACUGUAAGGAUUGACAGAUUGAUAGCUUUUUCAUGAUUCAGUGGAUGGUGGUGCAUGGCCGUUCUUAGUUCGUGGAUUGAUUUGUCUGGUUUAUUCCGAUAACGAGCGAGACUCCAGCCUACUAAAUAGUCGGCGUAUUUGUCAUAUGUGCGUACGGCUUCUUAGAGGGAUUUACGGUGUUCAGCCGCAAGAGACGGAGCAAUAACAGGUCUGUGAUGCCCUUAGAUGUCCGGGGCUGCACGCGCGCUACACUGGCAAAAUCAACGUGCUUGUCCUGCCCCGAAAGGGGCGGGUAAACCCUUGAAAAUUUGCCGUGAUUGGGAUCGGAAAUUGCAAUUAUUUUCCGUGAACGAGGAAUUCCAAGUAAGUGCGAGUCAUCAGCUCGCGUUGAUUACGUCCCUGCCCUUUGUACACACCGCCCGUCGCUGCCCGGGACUGAGCCAUUUCGAGAAACU